rnacentral:rRNA from 1 species
AUUGAACGCUGGCGGCAGGCAUAACACAUGCAAGUAGAACGAGUGGCGGACGGGUGAGUAAUGUCUGGGAAACUGCCUGUUGGCGGGGGAUAACUACUGGAAACGGUAGAUAAUACCGCAUACCAUCAGAUGUGCCCAGAUGGGAUUAGCUAUUUGGUGGGGUAACGGCUCACCAAGGCGACGAUCCCUAGCUGGUCUGAGAGAAUGACCAGCCACCCUGGAACUUAGCCACGGUCCAGACUCCAACGGGAGUCAGCAGUGGGAAAGAUUGCACAAUGGGCGCAAUCCUGAUGCAGCCAUGCCGCGUGUAUGAAUAAGGCCUUCGGGUUGUAAAGUACGUUCAGCGGGGAGGCGUUACCCGCAGAAGAAGCACCGGCUAACUCCGUGCCAGCAGCCGCGGUAAUAC